AGGUUAUGGCAGGUGCAUCCCCACUCACUGAGUGAUGGGGACAGCAUUUUUGGUGCUUGUGGCAUUUUUGGAUGCUGCCUGCAAAAUCCCACCACCCCCUCAUCCUGGCCGGAUGUGAAACACAGCUGCCUUCCCAGCUUGUUACCAGCUGGAGCCUGGUGAGGUUUGGAUCCCAAAGCCAAGCAUUUGAUAAGCAAAUGGAUGCUUCUGCUUUCUUCCCAGCUUUUCCAGGAGCAAGGUAGAGGAUGGCAACUGUGAUGAGCCACCAAAAUGGGAAGAAAUAAACAUUGAAAUAGAGGGACAUCUGCAAUGGCAAACUGGAAAGGAUUUCACAAUCUGUACAGAGAGAAAGAAGAUUUUAUCACUCCAGCUGUAAAUAUGACAGAAGGACACUGCUCCAUCUUAGCUUCAUGCAGGGCAGCAAUU